UUACAGCCAUAUCACGUUGAAACACCGGUUUGCACACGAUCACACCAAAGUUAAGCAACGCCGAGCUUGGUCAGUAUCUAGAUAGGUGACCGCUUGGGAAUACCAUGUACUGUAAG